rnacentral:rRNA from 1 species
GUGACUGCGUACCUUUUGUAUAAUGGGUCAGCGACUUAUAUUCUGUAGCAAGGUUAACCGUAUAGGGGAGCCGAAGGGAAACCGAGUCUUAACUGGGCGUUAAGUUGCAGGGUAUAGACCCGAAACCCGGUGAUCUAGCCAUGGGCAGGUUGAAGGUUGGGUAACACUAACUGGAGGACCGAACCGACUAAUGUUGAAAAAUUAGCGGAUGACCUGUGGCUGGGGGUGAAAGGCCAAUCAAACCGGGAGAUAGCUGGUUCUCCCCGAAAGCUAUUUAGGUAGCGCCUCGUGAACUCAUCUUCGGGGGUAGAGCACUGUUUCGGCUAGGGGGCCAUCCCGGCUUACCAACCCGAUGCAAACUACGAAUACCGAAGAAUGUUAUCACGGGAGACACACGGCGGGUGCUAACGUCCGUCGUGAAGAGGGAAACAACCCAGACCGCCAGCUAAGGUCCCAAAGUCAUGGUUAAGUGGGAAACGAUGUGGGAAGGCACAGACAGCCAGGAUGUUGGCUUAGAAGCAGCCAUCAUUUAAAGAAAGCGUAAUAGCUCACUGGUCGAGUCGGCCUGCGCGGAAGAUGUAACGGGGCUAAACCAUGCACCGAAGCUGCGGCAGCGACGCUUAUGCGUUGUUGGGUAGGGGAGCGUUCUGUAAGCCGUUGAAGGUGUGCUGUGAGGCAUGCUGGAGGUAUCAGAAGUGCGAAU